rnacentral:rRNA from 1 species
AGACGUCUACAUUAGAUACCCCGGUAGUCCCAGCCGUAAACUAUGCGCGUUAGGUGUAUCGGUGACCACGUGUUACUGAUGCGCCGAAGAGAAAUCGUGAAACGCACCACCUGGGAAGUACGGUCGCAAGGCUGAAACUUAAAGGAAUUGGCGGGGAGCACCACAACAGGUGGAGCCUGCGGUUUAAUUGGAUUCAACGCCGGACAUCUCACCGGAUAAGACAGCGGAAUGAUUGCCGGGCUGAAGACUCUGCAUGACUAGCUG